rnacentral:rRNA from 1 species
AGCGUUGUUCGGAAUUACUGGGCGUAAAGCGCAUGUAGGCGGACAUUUAAGUCAGGGGUGAAAUCCCGGGGCUCAACCUCGGAACUGCCUUUGAUACUGGGUGUCUAGAGUGUGGAAGAGGUAAGUGGAAUUCCGAGUAUAGAGGUGAAAUUCGUAGAUAUUCGGAGGAACACCAGUGGCGAAGGCGGCUUACUGGACCGAUACUGACACUGAGGAGCGAAAGC